rnacentral:rRNA from 1 species
UACGUAGGGUGCAAGCGUUGUCCGGAAUUAUUGGGUCGUAAAGAGCUCGUAGGCGGUUUGUCGCGUCGAAUGUGAAAACCCGGGGCUCAACCCCGGGCCUGCAUUCGAUACGGGCAGACUAGAGUUCGGUAGGGGAGUCUGGAAUUCCUGGUGUAGCGGUGAAAUGCGCAGAUAUCAGGAGGAACACCGGUGGCGAAGGCGGGACUCUGGGCCGAUACUGACGCUGAGGAGCGAAAGCGUGGGGAGCAAACAGG